rnacentral:misc_RNA from 1 species
UGAACAACCAAUCAACAGUAUCAAGUCUGCAAUACUAUAUGAUGGUUCGAUUUUGUCUUGUGAUUCUCGGUUGUGUGGAUAUGAUAUUGCAACCUGCUUGGAGGUGAUUGAACACAUGGAGGAACAGGACGCAUGUUUGUUUGGGGAUAUUGUUCUCCGUUCAUUUUGUCCACAGAUUCUUAUAGUCUCCACUCCCAAUUAUGAAUACAAUGUGAUUCUCCAGAAAUCUACUCCCCAAUACCAGGAGGAUGACCCAGAUGAGAAGAGCCAGCAGCAGUUAUGCAAAUUCCGCAAUCACGAUCACAAGUUUGAGUGGACUAGACAGCAGUUCUGUGAAUGGGCAUCUGAGCUAGCUUUAAGGCAUAAUUAUGAUGUCGUGUUCAGUGGUGUUGGGGGAGAAGCUAACAAAGAACCAGGAUUUGCCUCCCAAAUUGCUGUUUUUAGAAGAAACGAUCGCAGUCCCGUGAAUGCAGAUUUUCCUGAACACUAUGAUGUUAUAUGGGAAUGGAGUAGUGACAA